GAAGAGUUUCACGUGAACUCAUGAUCAUGUAACUCGGCGAAAUGUGGAAAUGUGAAACUUUUCACGUGAAUUUUUCGUCAUCAAACUUGAUGGCGGAAAAGUAAAAAUCUAGUGACAUGAUGAAUAUGGAAUAUAUUAUGCUACUGCUGUGAUGAGAUACAAGAAACAUAACAGUCGUAAGGUUACAGCGAUGUUUUUAAGGUUCUACAGCCGAUGGAUAUAGCUGAUUUGGCCGAUAUUGAAAUCAUAUAGGAACCAUGUUUAGUGAUUUGUGCUUUUCACGCAUAAAGUUACUUGAUUGCGUGAACAAUGAAAAAGUUCACGUGAAAUCGAUAGAGCAAAAAGUGAAAAGUGAAACGUUCCGCUCGAAGUUACGUAAUCGCUGCCCAGAAUAUGAGCCAAUAAAAGUGACACCAAGUUUUAUCUUACACAGAAAUAACUAGAUUUCAAUCAGUUGAAAUAUUAUUGUAGAUGGGCUUUUAAACUAAGUCGAAUAUGUUAUUAAAAAAAUUUAUUAGCUUCAAAUGAUUUAACUCAAAAAUAGAGCUAUAUUAACAAUGAAUCAGAUAAACUUUUGUCAAUAACAAGCGGCACAUGGCUAUUUGCCACAUAAAAUUUCUUGCAAAGGCAUAAAACUAACAGUCGCAAUGAUGACGUAGCAUGACGAAGUAGAAAUUAUUCCUUUGCGAUAUCCCGGCAUAAGAUUGCUGAAUAUACAUUAUCCCGUUUACAAUAUAUCUUUACCACUCUGCACAAAUUUCAAUAAAUCUCUUUUUAGACGGUGAGACGUGGCAAGAAUAAGAACACCAUCGAUCGAUAUAAUAAUUACCAGAUAAAAUGAAUUUGACACGUUCUUUCAUCAGUUCGCGACAUAUCGUAAACCUCGCAAAUUGUUCUAAUAAAAUUACGGUGAGAUGUGCUUCGCAGUACUAUAACAAAAUCAACGACGACUUGUUUGGACUGAGUGAUGAACAGAAAGAGCUUCGCUCGCUGGUUUUCAAUUUUGCACAAAAAGAACUGGCCUCUAAAGCUGCUGAAAUCGAUAAGAAAAAUAAUUUCGACGAGUUAAAAGCUUUUUGGCGUCAAUUAGGCAAAUUAGGCUUGUUGGGCGUUACGGUGAAGACUGAAUACGGUGGCACAGGUGGCUCAUAUCUUGAUCAUGUACUUAUCGUGGAAGAACUGUCUAGAGCAUCGGCUGCUAUUGGACUAAGUUACGGCGCACAUUCAAAUUUGUGUAUGAACCAGAUCCAUAGAAAUGGCACGGAAGAACAGAAGCACAAAUACUUGCCAAAGCUAUGUAGUGGCGAACACUUCGGCGCUUUGGCGAUGUCGGAAUCAGAAUCUGGCUCUGACGUUGUCUCUAUGAAGCUAAAAGCUGAGAAAAAGGGCGAUUAUUACAUAUUGAAUGGAAACAAGUUCUGGAUUACCAAUGGCCCAGACGCGGACACAUUAGUUGUCUACGCGAAAACAAACCCAAACACGGAUAAACCGCAGCAUGGUAUCACUACUUUUAUCGUGGAACGUGGUAUGGAGGGCUUUAGCACAGGGCAGAAACUAGACAAAAUGGGAAUGCGAGGCAGCAACACGUCGGAAUUGAUCUUUGAAAACUGUAAAAUUCCAGUUGCGAACAUUUUGGGGGAAGUUAAUAAGGGCGUUUAUGUGCUGUUCAGUGGAUUGGAUUAUGAACGAAUGAUAUUGGCCGCUGGACCGAUAGGAAUCGCACAGGCUUGUUGUGACGUCGCUUUCGAAUACGCUCAUACGAGGAAGCAAUUUAAUCAACAACUUGCACAAUUUCAAAUGAUACAAUCGAAGUUAGCUGAUAUGUACAUGAGAUUAUGUGCGGGCAAAAGUUACCUUUACGCCAUCGCGAAAUCCUGCGACGCCGGUCAGAGAAGUCGCAAAGAUUGCGCUUCAGUGCUUCUUCACAACAGUGAGAAUGCUGUAAAAACGGCAUUGGACGCCAUACAAAUACUUGGUGGAAAUGGUUAUACCAACGAUUUUCCGGUGGAACGAUUCCUGCGAGAUGCGAAACUUUACGAAAUUGGCGCGGGAACCAAUGAAAUACGACGUUUGGUCAUCGCCCGUGCAAUCAGCGAGGAAUAUGUCUAAUAAUGUGCUUCCAUCAAUUUGUAUCUCAUAAUUGCUCAGAUGAUAUAUCUACGUGAUCUACCAGUGUAUUAUAAUGUAUCAUAAUGUGAAUAUUUUUAAAAUUUUGUUAUAUGCUUAUUAAUCGCUUUGUUCAUAAAACAAAGCUUAUAAGCUUUUAUUACGAAACUCAUCUUUUAUAUAUUUUUCUACGAUCCUUUAUUCGCAUAAUGAUUGAGUACGUUUUUAAAUAUUUUUAUAUGUGUUAUACAAAAGCAAAUAAACGUGAUACGUUUGAUAAAAAAAUCAGUCAAUAUAAAUGUGUUUUCGUUAAUUUUAAUAAAUUUUUUGGUUUGUAAUUUUACAAAAUAUAUGCAAAGAUUACGCCAUGCUUCUUGAAGUGAUCUUCUUCGAGGAUUAUCAAUAGUGAACUCGUAAUUAGCCAAUGAUUAAUCGUCAUUGCUAAUAUACUACUAGGGCCCAAUUCUCGACAGUAUCGAGUGAGAUGUGUAUACGAAAAUCUUACAGUUCACGCUACGUAUGCUAUAGAUUACGUAUACGCAUCUCAUUCGCACAUUGUCAAGAUUGGAUCCUAGGCUCCUGAUCUUUCAUAUCGCGUUCAGUGAUAUGCGUGGACGAUCAUAUAAAUCAAGAUAAUUGAGUCACUAGAGCGGCUAGAGCGGAGAUUGCAAUUGACUAACCUUUCGCGCUAUAGGUUGCUAAUUUAAGUCGUAACACAUACACGCGCGUUUUCUUAUCUUCUCUUUCUUACUUCCUCUCUCUCUCUGUCUUUCUUUCUUCCCUUUGCCCCUCUCUCUCUCUGAAGUUCGGAUCUAGUCUCUGUCAAUGACAGUACAGCCAAACUAAUUGCAUCAAACCAGUUCGUAUAGAGGAGAAGUUCCUCAUCGUCCGUGAACGACAGCAGAGCGAUCCUCACCAGGAAGAAGCCUGCCUAAAAGAAGCUGAGCGAACGGGUUUUUACAGACUGAGAAUGGCUCUUAAGUUCUCCAUAAACAAUUUUUAUGAGAGCUAUAUGGUAUGCCGUGGAUAUAUAUCUGCCUCAUUUAUAAAGGAGUUUUAACAGCAUAAAUGCCCAAAAAAUAUACCAGAGACAUCUAAAAGAUAUCCUACUUGCUUUUUGAAGUCUUUAAGAUGUAUCCAAAACAUUUGUGUUAAACAUUUGUGCUGUUUAAGUAAAAAAAAUUAAUGUUCUAAAAAACGUAUUCCGGAUUGUUAUAGUUAUAAAUAAAGUCAUGUUAAUUUGCAGUUAUAGAAA